UACGUAGGGGGCAAGCGUUGUCCGGAAUUAUUGGGCGUAAAGAGCGUGUAGGCGGUCCGGUAAGUCGGCUGUGAAAGUCCAGGGCUCAACCCUGGGAUGCCGGUCGAUACUGCCGGACUAGAGUUCGGAAGAGGCGAGUGGAAUUCCCGGUGUAGCGGUGAAAUGCGCAGAUAUCAGGAGGAACACCGGUGGCGAAGGCGGAUCUCUGGGCCGAUACUGACGCUGAGGAGCGAAAGCGUGGGGAGCGAACAGG
rnacentral:rRNA from 1 species